rnacentral:rRNA from 2 species
UAGGGAAUCUUCGGCAAUGGGCGAAAGCCUGACCGAGCAACGCCGCGUGAAUGAUGAAGGCCUUCGGGUUGUAAAAUUCUGUUAUAAGGGAAGAACGACUUUAGUAGGAAAUGGCUAAAGUGUGACGGUACCUUAUGAGAAAGCCACGGCUAACUACGUGCCAGCAGCCGCGGUAAUACGUAGGUGGCAAGCGUUAUCCGGAAUUAUUGGGCGUAAAGAGCGCGCAGGUGGUUGAUUAAGUCUGAUGUGAAAGCCCACGGCUUAACCGUGGAGGGUCAUUGGAAACUAUCCAACUUGAAUGCAGAAGAGGAAAGUGGAAUUCCAUGUGUAGCGGUGAAAUGCGUAGAUAUAUGGAGGAACACCAGUGGCGAAGGCGACUUUCUGGUCUGUAAUUGACGCUGAGGCUCGAAAGCGUGGGGAGCAAACAGG